GCCGGGUGUGGUGGUGCACACCUGUAGUCCCAGCUACUUGGGAGGCUGAGACAGGAGAAUUGCUUGAACCCAGGAGGUGGAGGUUGCAGUGAGCCGAGAUCUCACCACUGCACUCCAGCCUGGGUGAGGGAGCGAGACUCUGUCUCAA
rfam:Pan troglodytes isolate Yerkes chimp pedigree #C0471 (Clint) chromosome 21, whole genome shotgun sequence.